UACGGGGGGAGCAAGCGUUGUUCGGAUUUACUGGGCGUAAAGGGCGCGUAGGCGGCCAGCGCAAGUCAGUUGUGAAAUCUCCGGGCUUAACUCGGAAAGGUCAACUGAAACUGUGCGACUAGAGUGCGGAAGGGGCAACUGGAAUUCUUGGUGUAGCGGUGAAAUGCGUAGAUAUCAAGAGGAACACCUGCGGCGAAGGCGGGUUGCUGGGCCGACACUGACGCUGAAGCGCGAAAGCCAGGGGAGCGAACGGG
rnacentral:rRNA from 1 species